AGGUGUUUCAUCCUUNGUGAAGUAUUNNGAGGAGGUGGUCAUCCUUUGUGAAGAUUCAAAGGAGGUGUAAGUUCAUCUCUUGUGGUUUCAAGAGAGGUGGUAUUUCUAAACUCUUACAAAUUGUUUUUCUCUGUGAUUAAUAUUUGUAAUUGUUUUGUGAUAGUGAAAAAGGUUUAUCUUGUUUGAGAUAAGCGACUGGACGUAGGAUCCGUGUGAUCCGAACCAGGAUAAAAUUAUCUGUGCAAAUUUCUCUCAACCUUACUCUUUUAUUUAUAUCUAUUAUUUGCGUAGUAAGUUUAAUUGAGUAGAAAUUAAAAGGCAUGCGUUUGUUUUAAAAACCCUCUUGGUUUGUUAUUCCAC
rnacentral:lncRNA from 1 species